rnacentral:tRNA from 1 species
AUCUAAAUAGUUUAAUAAAAAUAUUGGUUUGUGGUACCAGUGAUAUAAUUUUUUAUUUUAGAUU